UACAGAGGUCUCAAGCGUUGUUCGGAUUCAUUGGGCGUAAAGGGUGUGUAGGUGGCGCCGUAAGUCGGGUGUGAAAUCUCGGAGCUUAACUCCGAAACUGCAUUCGAUACUGCGGUGCUUGAGGACUGGAGAGGAGACUGGAAUUCAGGGUGUAGCAGUGAAAUGCGUAGAGAUCAUGAGGAAGACCAGUGGCGAAGGCGGGUCUCUGGACAGUUCCUGACACUGAGACACGAAGGCCAGGGGAGCAAACGGG
rnacentral:rRNA from 1 species